UUCGGGGAUGAUUGUUCUGUGACUGAGUGGCGGACUGGUGAGUAACACGUAAGCAACCUGCCUUGUACAGGGGGAUAACAGUUGGAAACGGCUGCUAAUACCGCAUAAGCGCACAGCAUCGCAUGAUGCAGUGUGAAAAACUCCGGUGGUAUAAGAUGGACCCGCGUCUGAUUAGUUAGUUGGUGAGGUAACGGCUCACCAAGUCGACGAUCGGUAGCCGGACUGAGAGGAAGGUCCCCACAUUGGAACUGAGACACGGUCCAAACUCC
rnacentral:rRNA from 1 species